rnacentral:rRNA from 1 species
GACGAACCGUGCGAACGUUGUUCGGAUUCACUGGGCUUAAAGGGCGCGUAGGCGGACCCGCCAGUCUGUGGUGAAAGCCCCCAGCUCAACUGGGGAAGUGCCAUGGAUACUGCAGGUCUUGAGGAGGGUAGGGGCGUCUGGAACGCUGGGUGGAGCGGUGAAAUGCGUUGAUAUCCAGCGGAACUCCGGUGGCGAAGGCGAGGCGCUGGACCCUUUCUGACGCUGAUGCGCGAAAGCCAGGGGAGCAAACGGG